CUAUAUUCAUUUAUUUAUUUAUUCAUUUAUGUUUCUGAUUUCACUUCUUCAGUGCCAAGGAACUUCAGCAGUUACACCGACAUACAACUGAUACAAAGAAGUAAUGAAUCAGACACCGUAAAAUAAAUCCUAGCCCAUUGAAUUCAGCAGGAUUUCUGCCCUUGACUUCAGGAGAGAAACAUUUCCACUGUAUUAAAUAAUAUUUUUUUCUCUGUGCAGACCUCUGGUGGGAAAGAAGCUUAGGAUGACUAAUGUCUUCCCUCACCAGUGCAGUCAUUAAAGAGAACCUAGAAUCAGGCCAAAGUGGGACACAGAACCUGAGAUUGAGAGAUAGAGGAAGAUGAAGAAUAUUUUAUGUUCUUAUUCUGC
rnacentral:lncRNA from 1 species